rnacentral:rRNA from 1 species
GACGAACGCUGGCGGCGUGCCUAAUACGUGCAAGUAGAACGCUGAAGAGAGGAGCUUGCUCUUCUUGGAUGAGUUGCGAACGGGUGAGUAACGCGUAGGUAACCUGCCUUGUAGCGGGGGAUAACUAUUGGAAACGAUAGCUAAUACCGCAUAACAAUGGAUGACACAUGUCAUUUAUUUGAAAGGGGCAAUUGCUCCACUACAAGAUGGACCUGCGUUGUAUUAGCUAGUAGGUGAGGUAACGGCUCACCUAGGCGACGAUACAUAGCCGACCUGAGAGGGUGAUCGGCCACACUGGGACUGAGACACGGCCCAGACUCCUACGGGAGGCAGCAGUAGGGAAUCUUCGGCAAUGGGGGCAACCCUGACCGAGCAACGCCGCGUGAGUGAAGAAGGUUUUCGGAUCGUAAAGCUCUGUUGUAAGUCAAGAACGAGUGUGAGAGUGGAAAGUUCACACUGUGACGGUAGCUUACCAGAAAGGGACGGCUAACUACGUG